GACGAACGCUGGCGGCGUGCCUAAUACAUGCAAGUCGAACGCAGUGGGGACGGGUGAGUAACAUGUGGGUAACCUCCCAUCAGACGGGAUAACACUUGGAAACAGGUGCUAAAACGAUACUGCUGGAUGGACUAGCGGUGCAUUAGCUAGUUGGUGAGGUAACGGCUAACCAAGUCCACGAUGCAUAGCGGGCCUGAUAGGGUGAUCGGCCACAAUGGGACUGAGACACGGCCCAUACUCAUACGGGAGGCAGCAGUAGGGAAUAUUGGGCAAUGGACGAAAGUCUGACCGAGCCACGCCGCGUGGGUGAAGAAGGUCUUCGGAUCGUAAAUCUCUGUUGUUAGGGAAGCGGUAUCUAACCAGAAAGCCACGGCUAACUACGUGCCAGCAGCCGCGGUAAUUC
rnacentral:rRNA from 1 species